AGAAUGAACGCUGGCGGCAUGCCUAACACAUGCAAGUCGAACGAAGCCUUCGGGCUUAGUGGCGCACGGGUGCGUAACGCGUGGGAAUCUGCCCCUCGGUUCGGAAUAACAGUUAGAAAUGACUGCUAAUACCGGAUGAUGACGAAAGUCCAAAGAUUUAUCGCCGAGGGAUGAGCCCGCGUAGGAUUAGCUAGUUGGUGAGGUAAAAGCUCACCAAGGCGACGAUCCUUAGCUGGUCUGAGAGGAUGAUCAGCCACACUGGGACUGAGACACGGCCCAGACUCCUACGGGAGGCAGCAGUGGGGAAUAUUGGACAAUGGGCGAAAGCCUGAUCCAGCAAUGCCGCGUGAGUGAUGAAGGCCUUAGGGUUGUAAAGCUCUUUUACCAGGGAUGAUAAUGACAGUACCUGGAGAAUAAGCUCCGGCUAACUCCGUGCCAGCAGCCGC
rnacentral:rRNA from 1 species